AUUGAACGCUGGCGGCAUGCCUUACACAUGCAAGUCGAACGGCAGCAUGAUCUAGCUUGCUAGAUUGAUGGCGAGUGGCGAACGGGUGAGUAAUACAUCGGAACGUGCCCUGUAGUGGGGGAUAACUAGUCGAAAGAUUAGCUAAUACCGCAUACGACCUGAGGGUGAAAGUGGGGGACCGCAAGGCCUCAUGCUAUAGGAGCGGCCGAUGUCUGAUUAGCUAGUUGGUGAGGUAAAGGCUCACCAAGGCGACGAUCAGUAGCUGGUCUGAGAGGACGAUCAGCCACACUGGGACUGAGACACGGCCCAGACUCCUACGGGAGGCAGCAGUGGGGAAUUUUGGACAAUGGGCGAAAGCCUGAUCCAGCAAUGCCGCGUGUGUGAAGAAGGCCUUCGGGUUGUAAGGCACCUUUGUCCGGAAAGAAAUGGCUCUGGUUAAUACCUGGGGUCGAUGACGGUACCGGAAGAAUAAGGACCGGCUAACUACGUG
rnacentral:rRNA from 1 species